rnacentral:rRNA from 1 species
UGGGGAAUUUUGGACAAUGGGCGAAAGCCUGAUCCAGCAAUGCCGCGUGUGUGAAGAAGGCCUUCGGGUUGUAAAGCACUUUUGUCCGGAAAGAAAUCCUUGGCUCUAAUACAGUCGGGGGAUGACGGUACCGGAAGAAUAAGCACCGGCUAACUACGUGCCAGCAGCCGCGGUAAUACGUAGGGUGCAAGCGUUAAUCGGAAUUACUGGGCGUAAAGCGUGCGCAGGCGGUUUGCUAAGACCGAUGUGAAAUCCCCGGGCUCAACCUGGGAACUGCAUUGGCGACUGGCAGGCUAGAGUAUGGCAGAGGGGGGUAGAAUUCCACGUGUAGCAGUGAAAUGCGUAGAGAUGUGGAGGAAUACCGAUGACGAAGGCAGCCCCCUGGGCCAAUACUGACGCUCAUGCACGAAAGCGUGGGGAGCAAACAGGAUUAGAUACCCUGGUAGUCCACGCCCUAAACGAUGUCAACUAGUUGUUGGGGAUUCAUUUCUUAGUAACGUAGCUAACGCGUGAAGUUGACCGCCUGGGGAGUACGGUCGCAAGAUUAAAACUCAAAUAAAUUGACGGGGUCAUAGCUGUUCCU